AAGGGCACCACAAGAACGCGUGGAGCAUGUGGCUUAAUUUGACUCAACGCGGGGAAACUUACCGGGUCCGGACACACUGAGGAUUGACAGGCGCUUGUAGCGUUACUUUUUACCUUCGGGUAUUAAGUUAAUGUUACUAUAAAAUAUGCUAGUCCUUUCAUGAUUGUGUGAUAGGUGGUGCAUGGCCGUUCUUAGUUCGUGGAGUGAUCUGUCUGCUUAAUUGCGUUUCAGAAAAUAGGUUCUUUGAGGUUAUUGUUGUUUGAACAUUUGUGAUUACGUUUCUCAACUUCGGUUGAUUACGUUUCACAUUGUUUAUCAACAUCCCUUGAACCUUGAAGGUAACGAACGUGACCGCAACCUCUUGUUGCCUCCCUUGUAUCUUUUUAGAUACACUGCUGCCUCGUGAUUUUUCCUUUUUCUUCGGGAAAAGGAUGUCAUGGGGAUUUGCAGAGUGGAGUUGCAAACUAGAGGGACCGCCGACCUUUUUAAAACGGAGGAAGGUUGCGGCAAUAACAGGUCUGUGAUGCCCUUAGAUGUUCCGGGCUGCACACGUGCUACAAUGAUUGUUGCAGUGAGCAUCUUACAAGUUCGCCUAGUAAAUAGCUUCGGUUAUUUUACAGGUGCGACACACCUACUUCGAAAGUAAGUAGGUAAUCAAUUCGAAGUAACAGUUUCCUUUUGCACAUAAAUGGUUCUAAUUUAGUAAUUGACUUCGGUCUUUUUUCUAAGUUAGAGCUGUGCUCCAUUCAUUCAUGGUGGGGACAGACCAUUGCAAUUGUUGGUCUCGGUCUUAACUAGGAAUGCCUUGUACGGGUCAUGGUUCAACAGACCACCCGGAAUAUGUCCCUGCCCUUUGUACACACCGCCCGUCGCUCUUACCGAUGGACUUCUCUGUGAGUUUGAGGGACUGGCUUUUUUGCUAUGGAAACUUAAACGAACAGUGUGGUCUAAAGGAAAGAGAAGUCGAACAAGGCA
rnacentral:rRNA from 1 species